rnacentral:rRNA from 2 species
GUGGGUAACCUACCUAUAAGACUGGGAUAACUUCGGGAAACCGGAGCUAAUACCGGAUAAUAUUUCGAACCGCAUGGUUCGAUAGUGAAAGAUGGCUUUGCUAUCACUUAUAGAUGGACCUGCGCCGUAUUAGCUAGUUGGUAAGGUAACGGCUUACCAAGGCAACGAUACGUAGCCGACCUGAGAGGGUGAUCGGCCACACUGGAACUGAGACACGGUCCAGACUCCUACGGGAGGCAGCAGUAGGGAAUCUUCCGCAAUGGGCGAAAGCCUGACGGAGCAACGCCGCGUGAGUGAUGAAGGUCUUCGGAUCGUAAAACUCUGUUAUUAGGGAAGAACAAACGUGUAAGUAACUGUGCACGUCUUGACGGUACCUAAUCAGAAAGCCACGGCUAACUACGUGCCAGCAGCCGCGGUAAUACGUAGGUGGCAAGCGUUAUC